rnacentral:rRNA from 1 species
AAUCAACGCUGGCGGCGUGCCUCAGACAUGCAAGUCGAACGAUUAAAGCUCCCUUCGGGGAGUGCAUAGAGUGGCGCACGGGUGAGUAACACGUAAGUAAUCUACCUUCGAGUGGGGAAUAACGUCCGGAAACGGACGCUAAUACCGCAUAAUGCAGCGGCAUCGCAAGAUGACAGUUGUUAAAGAUUUAUCGCUUGAAGAGGAGCUUGCGGCAGAUUAGCUAGUUGGUAAGGUAAUGGCUUACCAAGGCUACGAUCUGUAACCGGUCUAAGAGGACGGUCGGUCACACUGACACUGAAUAACGGGUCAGACUCCUACGGGAGGCAGCAGUCGGGAAUUUUGGGCAAUGGGGGAAACCCUGACCCAGCAACGCCGCGUGAAGGAUGAAGUAUUUCGGUAUGUAAACUUACGAAAGAA